GGCUUUAUGGCGGAGUGGUAAGGACACUAGCCUCUCACCCUUGAGUCCCGGGUUCAAUCCCCGGUCGAGGAGCUA